rnacentral:lncRNA from 12 species
AAGUAAUGAAACAAGAAGUCUGUCAUGUACACAUAUGCAACUCAUGCAUUUUUUUCAAUGCAGGUUUUUCAACACAGAGUCCACACUGGUUUCAUAUGUGAUGAGGAGAAAAGCAAACAGUGGAGAACAGCAGUAGAUACGACACAGAAAAGCAAGAAAGAAAAAUUAAGGACUAAAAGACAGAGCUGUUUCUAAAACAUCAGAUGGUGCACUUGAAAAUAAUACCAUAAAGGCUCAUCAUUUUAAACAAUUAUUGAUUACACCCUGGGGAUUUUUCACCAAUUCCACUCGAUGCUGCUUUUAAAAUGACAUGUAUUUACUGCUGCUUUCCAACACGGACACAGCCUGAGAGUGAGGAGAAGCAAGGAAGUAGCUGCUCCACCCACCAGGUCUCUCAGACAAUGCAGGGUGAAGAUCCAUUUGGGAAUCAAACUUUAGGAGGGACUGAAAGCAAACACAACUUCUGCUCAGUGAGCCAACAGCAGUGGUGCCGAGGGCAGCUGCAGGCUUGACAGCUCCUGCUGCUCCAGCAUGCACGAGGCAAG